GAUGAACGCUGGCGGCGUGCCUAAUACAUGCAAGUCGAGCGAACAGACGAGGCUCUUGCUCCUCUGACGUUAGCGGCGGACGGGUGAGUAACACGUGGUUAACCUACCUAUAAGACUUGGAUAACUUCGGGUAACCGUAGCUCAUACCGGAUAAUAUAUUUAACCUCAUGGUUCAAUAGUUAUUUCCGUUUUUGCUGUCCUUUAUACAUGGCUCCGGGCGGCUUUAGUUAGUUGGUAAGGUAACGGCUUCCCAAGGCAACGAUGCGUAGCCGACCUGAGAGGGGGAAGGGCGACACUGGAAGUGAGACACGGUCCAGACUCCGAGGGGAGGCAGAAGUAGGGAAUCGUCCGAAAUGGGCGAAAGACUGACGGAGCAACGCAGCGUGAGUGAAGAAGGUCUUCGGAGCGGAAAACGGUGUUAUUAGGGAAGAACAAAUGUGUGAGUAACGAUGCACGUCUUGACGGUACCUAAUCAGAAAGCCACGGCUAACUACGUG
rnacentral:rRNA from 1 species